UGGAAACUGGGGAACUUGAGUGCAGAAGAGGAGAGUGGAAUUCCACGUGUAGCGGUGAAAUGCGUAGAUAUGUGGAGGAACACCAGUGGCGAAGGCGACUCUCUGGGCUGUAACUGACGCUGAGGCGCGAAAGCGUGGGGAGCAAACAGGAUUAGAUACCCUGGUAGUCCACGCCGUAAACGA
rnacentral:rRNA from 1 species